rnacentral:snRNA from 1 species
GGAUGUAUGGUCACUCUGUGCUGUCUGUCUCGUUGGUGACUAGGAUUAAUUUGGACCACCUGGCGAACCAGACAAGUAACUUCUUUCACCUACACUAGUUCACAUGCAUCCCUUCCAAAGCUGUGUGCUCAGUCAGACAACUGGAGGAUUAUUCUUAAGUCUAGAAUAUUCUGAAGAGUAGAAGGAAAUAAAUUGUUAAUAAUUUCACCACUCAUAGUUUAAGAGGUUAGUAUCUUUCCUUCUAAACGUUUUUCUAAGUUAGUAUGUGUAUAUGUGUUU